rnacentral:tRNA from 1 species
GAUUGUGGCUCAGUGGUUGAGUGCUCGCCUAGCAUGAGCAAGGCCCUGGGUUCGAUCCUCAGCAUUACA